rnacentral:rRNA from 1 species
GACAGAGGUGCCGAGCGUUAGGCGGAAUUACUGGGCGUAAAGCGUGCGCAGGCGGUUUUGUAAGUCAGAUGUGAAAUCCCCGGGCUUAACCUGGGAACUGCGUUUGAAACUACAAGGCUAGAGUGUGACAGAGGGGGGUGGAAUUCCACGUGUAGCAGUGAAAUGCGUAGAGAUGUGGAGGAACACCGAUGGCGAAGGCAGCCCCCUGGGUUAACACUGACGCUCAGGCACGAAAGCGUGGGGAGCAAACAGG